GACGAACGCUGGCGGCGUGCCUAAUACAUGCAAGUCGAACGAGUGGCGGACGGGUGAGUAAUGUCUGGGAAACUGCCUGAUGGAGGGGGAUAACUACUGGAAAAGGUAGCUAAUACCGCAUACCAUCGGAUGUGCCCAGAUGGGAUUAGCUAGUAGGUGGGGUAAAGGCUCACCUAGGCGACGAUCCCUAGCUGGUCUGAGAGGAUGACCAGCCACACUGGACCUGAGACACGUUCAAGACUCCGACGUGUGGGAGCAGUGGGGAAUAUUGCACAAUGGGAGCAAGCCUGAUUCAGCCAUGCCGCGUGUAUGAAGAAGGCCUUCGGGUGGUAAAGUACUUUCAGCGGGGAGGCGUUACCCGCAGAAGAAGCACCGGCUAACUCCUUGCCAGCAGCCGCGGUAAUAC
rnacentral:rRNA from 1 species